AGGUAAGCUACUAAGAGCGAAUGGUGGAUGCCUUGACUGGUAAAGGCGAUGAAGGACGUACUAGACUGCGAUAAGCUACGGGGAGCUGUCAAGAAGCUUUGAUCCGUAGAUUUCCGAAUGGGGCAACCCAAUGUAUAGAGAUAUACAUUACCUAUAUAGGAGCGAACGAGGGGAAUUGAAACAUCUUAGUACCCUCAGGAAAAGAAAUCAAUAGAGAUUGCGUCAGUAGCGGCGAGCGAAAGCGCAAGAGGGCAAACCCAGUGCUUGCACUGGGGGUUGUAGGACUGCAAUGUGCAAGAGGUAAGUUUAGCAGAACAUUCUGGAAAGUAUAACCAUAGAGGGUGAUAGUCCCGUAUGCGAAAAACAAACCUUAGCUAGCAGUAUCCUGAGUAGGGCGGGACACGAGGAAUCCUGUCUGAAUCCGGGUCGACCACGAUCCAACCCUAAAUACUAAUACCAGAUCGAUAGUGCACAAGUACCGUGAGGGAAAGGUGAAAAGAACUGAGGUGAUCAGAGUGAAAUAGAACCUGAAACCAUUUGCUUACAAUCAUUCAGAGCCCUAUGUAGCAAUACAGGGUGAUGGACUGCCUUUUGCAUAAUGAGCCUGCGAGUUGUGGUGUCUGGCAAGGUUAAGCAAACGCGAAGCCGUAGCGAAAGCGAGUCUGAAUAGGGCGCUUAGUCAGAUGCUGCAGACCCGAAACGAAGUGAUCUAUCCAUGAGCAAGUUGAAGCUAGUGUAAGAACUAGUGGAGGACUGAACCCAUAGGCGUUGAAAAGCCCCGGGAUGACUUGUGGAUAGGGGUGAAAGGCCAAUCAAACUUCGUGAUAGCUGGUUCUCUCCGAAAUAUAUUUAGGUAUAGCGUUGUGUCGUAAUAUAAGGGGGUAGAGCACUGAAUGGGCUAGGGCAUACACCAAUGUACCAAACCCUAUCAAACUCCGAAUACCUUAUAUGUAAUCACAGCAGUCAGGCGGCGAGUGAUAAAAUCCGUCGUCAAGAGGGAAACAACCCAGACUACCAGCUAAGGUCCCUAAAUCUUACUUAAGUGGAAAACGAUGUGAAGUUACUUAAACAACCAGGAGGUUGGCUUAGAAGCAGCCAUCCUUUAAAGAAAGCGUAAUAGCUCACUGGUCUAGUGAUUUUGCGCGGAAAAUAUAACGGGGCUAAAGUAAGUACCGAAGCUGUAGACUUAGUUUACUAAGUGGUAGGAGAGCGUUCUAUUUGCGUCGAAGGUAUACCGGUAAGGAGUGCUGGAGCGAAUAGAAGUGAGCAUGCAGGCAUGAGUAGCGAUAAUUAAUGUGAGAAUCAUUAACGCCGUAAACCCAAGGUUUCCUACGCGAUGCUCGUCAUCGUAGGGUUAGUCGGGUCCUAAGUCGAGUCCGAAAGGGGUAGACGAUGGCAAAUUGGUUAAUAUUCCAAUACCAACAUUAGUGUGCGAUGGAAGGACGCUUAGGGCUAAGGGGGCUAGCGGAUGGAAGUGCUAGUCUAAGGUCGUAGGAGGUUA
rnacentral:rRNA from 1 species